rnacentral:rRNA from 1 species
UACGUAGGCAGCAAGCGUUGUUCGGAAUUACUGGGCGUAAAGCGCACGCAGGUGGCUGAGUCAGUCGAUUGUGAAAGCCCUGGGCUUAACCUGGGAAUUGCAGUCGAUACUACUCAGCUAGAGUAUGGGAGAGGGCAGUGGAAUUCCCGGUGUAGCGGUGAAAUGCGUAGAUAUCGGGAGGAACAUCAGUGGCGAAGGCGGCUGCCUGGCCCGAUAUUGACGCUGAGACGCGAAAGCGUGGGGAGCAAACAGG